rnacentral:rRNA from 1 species
UGGGGAAUUUUGGACAAUGGGGGAAACCCGUGAUCCAGCCAUCCCGCCGUGUGCGAUGAAGGCCUUCGGGUUGUAAAGCACUUUUGGCAGGAAAGAAACGUCGCGGGUUAAUACCCCGCGAAACUGACGGUACCUGCAGAAUAAGCACCGGCUAACUACGUGCCAGCAGCCGCGGUAAUACGUAGGGUGCAAGCGUUAAUCGGAAUUACUGGGCGUAAAGCGUGCGCAGGCGGUUCGGAAAGAAAGAUGUGAAAUCCCAGAGCUUAACUUUGGAACUGCAUUUUUAACUACCGGGCUAGAGUGUGUCAGAGGGAGGUGGAACUCCGCGUGUACAGUGAAAUGCGUAGAUAUGCGGAGGAACACCGAUGGCGAAGGCAGCCUCCUGGGAUAACACUGACGCUCAUGCACGAAAGCGUGGGGAGCAAACAGGAUUAGAUACCCUGGUAGUCCACGCCCUAAACGAUGUCAACUAGCUGUUGGGGCCUUCGGCCUUGGUAGCGCAGCUAACGCGUGAAGUUGACCGCCUGGGGAGUACGGUCGCAAG